UACGUAGGGGGCAAGCGUUGUCCGGAAUCAUUGGGCGUAAAGAGCGUGUAGGCGGCUCGGUAAGUCCGCUGUGAAAGUCCAGGGCUCAACCCUGGAAUGCCGGUGGAAACUGUCGAGCUAGAGUCCGGAAGAGGCGAGUGGAAUUCCUGGUGUAGCGGUGAAAUGCGCAGAUAUCAGGAGGAACACCAAUGGCGAAGGCAGCUCGCUGGGACGGUACUGACGCUGAGACGCGAAGGCGUGGGGAGCGAACGGG
rnacentral:rRNA from 1 species